UACGAAGGGGGCUAGCGUUGCUCGGAAUGACUGGGCGUAAAGGGCGCGUAGGCGGUUCGUACAGUCAGACGUGAAAUUCCCGGGCUCAACCUGGGGGCUGCGUUUGAUACGUACGGGCUUGAGUUCGGAAGAGGGUCGUGGAAUUCCCAGUGUAGAGGUGAAAUUCGUAGAUAUUGGGAAGAACACCGGUGGCGAAGGCGGCGACCUGGUCCGAUACUGACGCUGAGGUGCGAAAGCGUGGGGAGCAAACAGG
rnacentral:rRNA from 1 species